UCCUUCCAUCUUUAGAGUUGCUAACAAAAGCUCAUUCCAAGUAUCAACAGGUCCUGGCAUACACCAAUGCACACAAUCAGGUAUUUGCUUUUCAUUUGGCCAAUGUCCAUAAUGAUUUGGAUGUCCAUCUGGUCUCAUUACCAUUGCUUCAGUUGUAUCAAGCAAUUUGAAUUUGACACUGCCCCUUUUUCUACCUUCCCUUUCUGCUGCCUUAAAUUCCUCCAAUUGAGUCAUAUACAUCUUCAAUUCGUAACCGUCCAAUUUCAUUUCUUCCUUCUUGAAGGGACCUGUUCUAUUGCAAUUCCCUCCAUUAUUCCAUUCCCCAUUCUCAAAAUGUGAAGGGGAGUAUGGCCUUAGCAUUACCAAUCGACCCUUCAAUUUCUUCAGGCUUAAAAAGGUCUUGAAAGCUGUACGAAACGCCAUUCUGUAUCCAUAAAAAUGGCUCUGUUUUGUAACAUUUUUAUCAUUGCAUAGGUAACAUCCAAUGAGCUGAUCAUUUUCGUAGUACAAAAAUGGCCUAAAGAACCAUUGGCCUCCAGAGAUUAUGACAAUUUCAGCUUUGUCAACCUGACUUGCCCAGGCAUCAUCGGCCUUGUCGAGAUACAGAUUCAUGAGAGUGUAACUAGGAUCAGUUUCAUGGGAUUUGAUCAACAGUGGAGACCACAGGGCCAUGAUUGUAAAGUUGUAAUCUUUAUACAACCAUCGCCUGAAUCUUGUGUCCGGAGUCUCCGAUACGUCUACAGGAAUGACCGCCUGCGAUAUAAACAUGAUAUAUUAUUGAUUAGCAACAAUGUAGGAAGCUGGAUAUUACAACUAUGAUUAUGCCAAUUCUCUCAUCUGAAUUAUGUCAUUUAGCAUUUCUAAAUGAGUAACAUCUUAUCAUAUUUCACUUGCAUAAGCAUCAAAUCGUCAUUUAGAAUGUAGGAUGCAUCGUGGACCGAGCUGCCCUUUGUAUAAAUUAGUACGUAAUAACUAUCAUAGAGAUUUACAUUUGAGUAACGAAAUUUUUAUGAGUAGCAGAAAACAUAGCAAAAUGGGAUGGAAGCACGAAAAUUGAAUGCUUACGUACACUAGAUAGAAGGCACACGAGGGACUGCAUUUGGUUUCUUGCUACUGAAUCUCCAACAAAAGCCAAAGUCUUUCCACGAACAAUUUCCAAAAAUUGAUUAGCAUCAAAUAGUGGAAGUUCACAAUCAUUUGGCUUCCAUCUCCAAUGUAAGAAAUCACUAUCCGGUCUUCCAUAUUUCAUACAAUUCUGUCGAUCAUCGAUCACACAGUUUGUCUCAUUUGUAUAGUAUGGUCCCUUUGGAUUUGGCACCCAUUUUCCCACAAAGAUGUUACAUAAUUGCUGUUUCUCCCCUGUUUUCUCUGAAUUGUUGGUAAUUCCUGGAGACAGUAAUUGGGUAAUGGCCUUAUGAUUAAUAGGGAGUGGUUCAAUAUUUUGUAGCAAAGAAUAAGUGUUAGUAUCAAAUGAAAAGAAAGUGAUUUUGAGUAAGAGAAGUAACGUUAAGAUUGGUAAAACAAUUUUUCUAAAGCUCUUAAACAGCUCUGCUGGACCACUCUUCAUCUGCAACUGAUGUUUUAAAGAUCAAAAUUACUUGUCAAGUUAUAUAAGUACUACAGUACUACUAGUGGCCAUGAAACAUAUUAUGUGAGUUAUAUAUAAUAUAUGUUUGGUUUUAUGGACUAAUUGUAAUUAAUUAACAGCAUAGUAUAUGUACAUUGUACACUAAGAGUUGUACAUGAUUUGAACUAUGUAUUCUAAUAUACACUUCAAUUUUGCUAUUUAGAGCUAUUUUCACAACAAGGGUUAUAUCAGCUCUAAAUGACAAAGUUGACGGGUAUAUCCUGUCUUUUCUAUAAAAUUUUGCCUUUUCUAAAUGACCCAACCUAUUCCAUAACCCAAAUUUGAUGGGUAAUAAUCUUAUACUUCUUUUAUUUUCUAUUUCUAGUUGAAUAACUACAAUUUUUUAUGGGUAACACAUAUGUGGUUCUUGUGUUAGCAAGGACAAAUGUUGUAAUUUUUGUGUUAAAAAAAGCAUAGUUAAGUAACUUAAAUGGAAAAAAAACUCAUAAUUACGUUACCAUCUAUGAAAUUUACUCUUAGAAUGAAACAAUACCUACUGUUAACUUUAAAAGAGAAGGUGGAUAUAUAGAGAAUCUGAAAGGUCGUCUAUUUCUAGUUGACUUAUAAUUAGAAGAAGCUUUAUAUAUGAGUAAUUCAGAACGUGAUAUCUUAAUUCGUGUAAUAUACUUUACUUUCUUUUCUUCUUUGAAGUUGUCAACAACCGCUGGCAAAUUUUAGUUACCAAUAAUGAGACAAAAAGAACUAUGAAUUGUGGUGUAGUGAUGAGAUUGUUCACCUUUAAUAUGAGGUCUCAUAUUCGAGCCCUGGUCCCCUGGUUGCGCCACCCCCUUAAUUAAGCCCUGCAGUGCGCAAUCCAGAUUUCCAAAAACCGAGUGGGAACCAGGAAAAAAACGAGACAAAAAGAGAGAGGAAACCGGUUAAUUGCUUAAUUUCUAGUGUAAUUAAAGUUUGAAUCAUGAAUAGUAUAAUGAAAACGUUACACAAGUGGUACGGAAGGACAUGAAAUAUGACUACUUGACAUUCAUUAACUAAUUAACAAUCAGUCAACUGGAUCCAUUCAACUGAAUAAGACAAAAUAUAAAUAACGUUACUAAUUAUUAACAGAGAUUUGGUAGACCUUGAGGUGCUCAAGUCAAUUUCUAUUAAUUACGCAUGCAGAAUGUAAUAUUUCAUUCCAAAUUGAUACUUCAAUUGCUUAAAACAUGAUGUUUGAAGCUGUGCCUGCGCGUCUUUAGCGUAGAGUUCAUGUGUGCAAAAGGCUGACGGGAAAGAACUAGACUUUAAUGGUUUGGUUGUUAUCAGUUUUGGUUUGAUUGUUCAAUUAUUGACCAUAUAUCAAAGUAAAAGAAAUGAUCCAUUCAAAGGGGAAAAGAAGGCAACAAUUCAUUCAAAGCAUUGUUGUUGAUCUAUGAAAAUAUUACUAUUUAUCUUCAUGCAAUAUUACUAUUUAAACAAAUUCAAUUAGUACUAAAGUGAAGAAGGUGCUAUGAAAAUAUAUACUUAUUAAGUUAUAAGCAUCACAUAGUCCAAGCAAAUUAGUGUUGAUCUUUUUUUAAUUAUUUAUCAAUGAAUGCAUAUCAUUCUUAACUUCACACUCCGAUCCCAAAAGAGAUGCGCAUUUAUCGUUAUUUUUAUUUUCGAUUAAGAUUGAACUCAUGGGGAAAGGGAGGAAUUGAAAAUUGUUUCUAUUGCUCUUGCAUUUGAUCAAAUGCGUUAAUAUAUGAAGUACUAAGAUUUCGUUUAUGGCUACACAUAACGUGUUAGUGCAUGUCUACUUCUUUGGUUGAUCUAUAGAACCAUAGUAACUUAAUCCUCAAUAUUUUAUUUUAUUUUAUUUUCAUUUUUGUGUUUAGAGCUUUAUGUCUUUCGUUACGAUUGUAUUUACCAAAUUAUAUAUUUCAUAAAUUUUAAAUAUCUUUAUAAUCGCACGAAACACGAACAAAUUAACUACUCCCUCUCUGUUCAUUUUAGCUAGGCUGAGAAUAGGAUUUUCGACAUUGAACUUCAAAAGAAAGGAGGAGAAGAUGAUUUCAUUAAGGCAGUAGAUUAUUCUGAUUGGAUUUCGAACAUCGUCCCCAUGCCCCUCCCUUACAUCCCUCAUUUCAAAGGGAACCUCAAAGUGGCUCUAUUUCAUUAUAUUCCAAUUAGUUGUCAUGUUGUGCUUUUUGAAAGUCAAUUUUACUAAUUUUCAAAAUUAAAUUUGAUUACACUGAUUUGAUAUUUUAAACAAAAAUUUAGAUAUUCAAAAACUAUACGAAAAGUACAAUUUUUGCAUAUCAAUGUGAUGAAAAAAUACAUCGUAAAAUGUUAGUCAAAGUCCUUAUCAUUUGAUUCUAAAAAGGAGAAUUUUAACGGUUAAUGUGAAAGGUGGAAGUAGUUUGAAAAUAAUAAAUGAGAACUUUGCUACAUGCUGAAGCUAGAAGGAAGGAGAGUUUGAUUGCAAAUAAAGAUAAGUGUAGUCAAUAGAUAUCCCUAGCCUCUAGGCGUAAGCUAACGUUGGCAUAAGUUUAAUAGGAAUUAAGCUAUGUAACUUGUUAUUUAAAAAAAAUAUAAUUUAUGUUAUAUUAUUAUAUAAAAAUACAAAUUUAUGUUGAGUAAAAAUUAUUUGUUAUUUUGAUGUCAAAGAUAUUUCUGUCACAUAUUAUCACUUGAAGUGCUUACGAAAAACAAAUUAAAAACCACAAAAUUCGAGGUUAAAAAUUAAAGGAAAAAUUACAAAAAUCUCACAUUUUAGUUUACUUAUUACCAUUAUCCCCUAUAAAUUUUAUAAAUCUCCAAAAUCCCUCAUUUUUGCGCAUCAAAUUAGUGUAUCUCGCGCAUCAGAUUAAUGUAUCAGCGCUUAUAUUAUUGUAUCUCGCGCAUCAGAUUAGUGUAUCAUGUAUAAAAUGUACAUCAGAUUAGUGUAUCAUGUAUAAAAUGUAAUGUAUCAUACUUAACGAUUAAUGUAUCUCGCGCAUCAAAUUAAUGUAUCAGCGCUUAUAUUAUUGUAUUCGUUUGAGGGAUUUAUGUAAUUAUAAAUUUUUAAAGGAUAGAUUGUAAUUUUCCCUUAAAAGUAUGUAAUUUCUUUAAUUUGCCCAAAAUCGCUCAAAAUAAAGGCCGCCUUGGACAUCCUUUGAUUAAAGACAAACUUGGUUGGGCUAAAAAUCUAGUCCAUAACAAAGGGAGCAAAUUGCGUUUAUCUCUGGCAAAAUUACACAAAUACUACUUUUUAAAAAGGUAUAAAUAUUUUUAUUUAUUCUAGUUUUAAAACUUACAUUGUGUACAACUUUUCAUAUUCCUAAAAUAUCUCUAUAUAAAUGCAUUAAAACUUGGCUUCCUUUUUGACAUUCACAUAUUUAUUUUCAUUUUUUCUCACUUUUCCAUGAAAUUGAAAAAAUAACUCAAUGUAAAUUUUAAUUUGAUAUAUAGUAUACGAUGUAUAAAUUAUUUAUGAACAACGUAUUAUGCUUCUUCAAUAUACCUAAUACACGAAUACAAUAAUAUAUGUUCAAAUAUGAAUAAAUAUAAAUAACAUAUAGAAUACUUUUUGUGUAACAUACAAACAAAAUUAUAUUAUAUACUCUAGUAUAUACUAGUUAAUAUAUAUAAAAACUAAUAAUAUUAAAUAUGGUAUAAAAUAAUGCAAUAUACGUAAUAUAUAAGUACAAUAAUAUAUAAACUUCUUUAAAGAAAUUGUAUAAUAUAUACUACCAUAUGGAUAUGAGUGAUAGAUGAAUAUGUCUGAGUUCUCUUGGAAAAGUAAUUACUCCCUCCAUCCAACAAUAGUUAUCCACUAUACUAUUUUGGGAUAUCCAAUAAUACUUGUCCAUUUUAUGAAAUUAUGAAUAAUUUUACACUUAAUUUCUAAUUUACCCUUAUUAUCAGUUAUAGUUAUUUCUCUAUUACAUUUUUCAUGACAUUGUAUUUAUUAUUAUACUCAAAGUGUGAUAUAGUAAAUUAUUCUUCUAUUUAUAAUUUUUUAAGAAAUAUGCAAAGUCUAAUAUACAAGUAUUGUUGGACAAGUCAAUAAUUUUGUUAACAAUAAUAUAGGAAACUCCAAUUUUAGCUUUUUAUACCUAGAAACAUUUCUUGAUUUAUGGUAAAAAUCCUAUAUACCAUAUAUAUAUAUAUAUAUAUAAAGUAUUCAUGGUAGAUUAUAUAAUUUAAUGAAGGGAUUAUUAAUGGUAGAUUAUGAAAUAUUUUAUGUGACAACCCUUAUGGAACAACUAUUUGGUCGGUGCGAUUUAAUUUAUAUUCACUUUUUCAAAUUAUUUAACUAAUUCUCCGUCUGUCCCUAAUUACUUGUCCACUUUUGAAUUGACACACCUAUAGAAAAUAGUUUAUAUAUACCCUUCGUUAUACUUUUGGUCCAAAUAUACCCCUCCUAUUAUACUUUGGGCCAAAUAUAUCCUUUAUCCGUUAAAUAUGUGGGUCCCAACCUUAGAAUAAACAUGUGAAAUGUUGGGAUUAAUUUUAAAAACUCAGAUAAUUUUUUUCCAAUUAAUACCCAAAAUACGUAAUUACUUAAAUGGUUGAGAUUAAUUAGAUGGACCCAAAUAAUUUAUGUCCCUGCCAACAACAAAAAUAACCCAUAGCCCAACUCCAAUAAAGCUUCAAAUCUCAACAAUGGAGUAAUGUAAAAGUUGUUUUCUUCAAAUCAGUUUGUAUCACUUCAAUAAUAAUUGUAUUCACUUAACUUGAUGAUUCUCAACAUCCAAACACACAUAAUACUUCAAAAAUCUCAAUAACUUAAUCGAUGAGUCACCAACAAAGAAUUAUUGAAGAACUUUGAUUUUUCAAUCUCUAUUUUUGAAUUCAAAGAACCCAAAAAUUAAAUUCAACUUAAUCGUAGUAGACUAGAAAAUCUCAGCUCAAAGUAACAAUAACCUAAAUAAUUUUUCAGUACUCGAUUGAUUUACAACAACUUUCAAUCACAAACUUUAAAAGUUUAUCGGCCACAAAUUCAAAAGACAAAAAUCCAACAACUUUGUUUUCAACUUCUCCACCUAAUGUGCAUUCUAAUUUUAGCACAUCUAUCGAAAUCAAUGGAGUUUUCAAGCACCACCUUAAUUGAACUUUCAAAAAUUUCAGAAUUGAACUCGGAUAAUAAACUCAACAAGAACAGUAGAACACACAGAUUUUUUUUAAAUGCUUUGUAUCUCAGAAAAAAAAAAUAGGAACAAUAGUUAUAAAAAUGAGCUUUCAUGUAUCAGUUGAAGCUAAUCAGUUGACAAUUUUUUUUUACAAACAUUUCGUUUUGGUUUUGUUUGACUUAUAGAGGAUUUGGCAAAGAAAGUAUUUUAGUGAGUUAUUUUGGGUGUUAACCGGAUAAAAAUGAUUUGGGUUUUUAAAAUUAAUUCCAACAUUUCUCACGUUUAUUCUAAGGUUUGGACCCACAUAUUUAACGGAUAAAGGAUAUAUUUGGUCCAAAGUAUAACGGGAGGGGUAUAUUUGGCCCAAAAGUAUAAGGAAGGGUAUAUUUAAACUAUUUCCUAUAGUACAGGGGUAUAUUUGACCCUUUUCCGUUAAGAAAACAAUGAUUGACAUAGUGAGUUUACCAUUAUACCCAUAUUAAUUAUGAAGUGGAUGAAUUAAAAACUAAAUAUUUUCAAGAAGUUCUACCUUUUUCAAAGUAAUUAAUUGAGGGUAUAAUAGGUAAAAAAAUUGUGAUUUGUCAAAAUGGACAAGUAAUUAGGGACAACUAAAAAAGGAAAAAUGGACAAGUAAUUAGAGAUAAAGGGAGUAUUCAAUAUCAAGGGAUUUGGCCUGAGAAUAUCUGAAUUAUAUAUCUUAAGUACUAACAUAGUGCAGAAUUUCAAAUUGUGAAGCUUUGAUUACUUAAAUAAAUAUUGAUAUAAAACUUCUUUACAAAUAACUUAUACCCUUUUUCCUAAAACAAAUUACACAAAACAUUUGAAAAAGUUAUUAUACGGUUGUUACCAAAUUCUAAGUAUAAUUCUGUUUCUAUCUCUGAAUAAAUUCAUCUCCUUCCAUCUUUAAAGUUGCUAACAAAAGCUCAUUCCAAGUAUCAACAGGGCCUGGCAUACACCAAUGCACACAAUCAGGCAAUUUCUUUUCAUGUGGCCAAUGUCCAUAAUGAUUUGGAUGUCCAUCUGGUCUCAUUACCAUUGCUUCAGUUGUAUCAAGCAAUUUGAACUUGACACUACCCCUUUUUCUACCUUCCUUUUCUGC
rnacentral:lncRNA from 1 species